AUUGAACGCUGGCGGCAUGCCUUACACAUGCAAGUCGAACGGCAGCACGGGUGCUUGCACCUGGUGGCGAGUGGCGAACGGGUGAGUAAUACAUCGGAACAUGUCCUGUAGUGGGGGAUAGCCCGGCGAAAGCCGGAUUAAUACCGCAUACGAUCUACGGAUGAAAGCGGGGGACCUUCGGGCCUCGCGCUAUAGGGUUGGCCGAUGGCUGAUUAGCUAGUUGGUGGGGUAAAGGCCUACCAAGGCGACGAUCAGUAGCUGGUCUGAGAGGACGACCAGCCACACUGGGACUGAGACACGGCCCAGACUCCGAGGGGGGGCAGCAGUGGGGAAUUUUGGACAAUGGGCGAAAGCCUUAUCCAGCAAUGCCGCGGGUGUGAAGAAGGCCUUCGGGUUGUAAAGCACUUUUGUCCGGAAAGAAAUCCUUGGCCCUAAUACGGUCGGGGGAUGACGGUACCGGAAGAAUAAGCACCGGCUAACUACGUG
rnacentral:rRNA from 1 species